rnacentral:rRNA from 1 species
UACGGAGGGGGCAAGCGUUGUUCGGAAUUACUGGGCGUAAAGCGCACGUAGGCGGAUAGUUUAGUCAGGGGUGAAAUCCUGGGGCUCAACCCCAGAACUGCCUUUGAUACUGGCUAUCUCGAGUCCGGAAGAGGUGAGUGGAAUUUCCAGUGUAGAGGUGAAAUUCGUAGAUAUUGGAAAGAACACCAGUGGCGAAGGCGGCUCACUGGUCCGGUACUGACGCUGAGGUGCGAAAGCGUGGGGAGCAAACAGG